UACGUAGGGUGCAAGCGUUAAUCGGAAUUACUGGGCGUAAAGCGUGCGCAGGCGGCUAUGCAAGACAGAUGUGAAAUCCCCGGGCUCAACCUGGGAACUGCAUUUGUGACUGCAUGGCUAGAGUACGGUAGAGGGGGAUGGAAUUCCGCGUGUAGCAGUGAAAUGCGUAGAUAAUGCGGAGGAACACCGAUGGCGAAGGCAGCCCUUCUGGG
rnacentral:rRNA from 1 species